AAUCAGUAGAGGAGAGUAUUAGAAUCAGGAGAGGAGAGUAGUAGAGAGUAGUGAGGAGAGUAGUAGAAUCAGGAGAGGAGAGUAGUAGAAUCAGGAGAGGAGAGUAGUAGAGAGUAGUAGAAUCAGGAGAGGAGAGUAGUAGAAUCAGGAGAGAAGAGUAGUAGAAUUCCUACUACAUGUAAUUACAAAUGAACAAGGGUGUAAUAACAAAUCCUGUGGUAAAGCUAAACACUUCUGACUUGGUAUGUAAAUCCACUGCCUGGAUCUCACAAUCAAUAUGAGUUGAGGAGGAAUCACCUGGGCUUAAGAAGGUGAAAGGUAUGCCCCCCGCCCCAACCACAACCCACCAUGUCUCGUCAGACUCAAUACCUAUGCAUAUGUACAAUCUUAGCACCUUUUUUUCUAUCUAGAACCAAAAAGGGUUAUUUUGCUGUCCCCAUAGGAGAACCCUUUGAAUAUC
rnacentral:lncRNA from 1 species